CCACAUGCUGAAAGUCAGAGCUCAGACUCACACUGCCCGCCCCCGCGCAGGACACUAACGACUUGGGAAUCACUAGGAGCAGAGCCUGGCAUGUGCGGGAGCCACCCUAAGAGAAACCGUCCCAGAAGAGAGGUGCUAACUAGGUGAAGACAUAUGACUCUGAGCUCCACUUCCUGAUUCUAAUGGAGGGAGAGUCUGGCAUGGAGCCAGGAAGCAGAAAAGGCAUGAAAGGAAGAACUAAUUUGGAGCUGGCGCAGGCGUGUUCUCCACGUCAACCGGCAGAUCACAAAAGCAACUGCAGCUCCUUGGAACUUUCCACCACAGAUGGGCGAUGGUGACCCCAGGUGACAUCUGACUGCGAUGACAAAGUGACUUGGGUUGAGAGAUUAGAAUCUCUAACUGCCUUGCGGUUUCAGAAGGCAAAAGGAGACAGACCUAAAAGAGGGGUGAGAGCUUAAAAAUUCAGGGUGAAUCGCUCCAGGACGAUAGACUUGUCUGGUGGGUCAUUCGUGUGGCUUCCUGAGGAAAAGCUUUUCAAGCCCCAGUUUGAUACCGUUGAAAUGGGCUGUGGAAACACAGGAAGCCCAUCCCUCAACCGAGCAGCUCACUGGCAACUGCUUCCAGAUGGAGUGGCGGUUCACCCCGUGAGGGCAGACAGACAGCGAAGGGAAAGCGGCCAGCUGACACCGAUGUGGAAGACUGUGGCAUUAUAAAAACUGUAUUCUCUCUUAAAGGCGUGCACAGGGCAGAUGAGCCCUGAGUCACAGCUUAUACCUGAUGGGAUAACACUGUGUUCCUGCCAAAACACUCAUUCUCUCACUCCGUAAUCGGACGCCGGGCACCCCUUCCUUCUCCUUGGCACUUCCCGCCAUUCCGACGAGGAACUUCAUUGCGGGGACACUGUGUGCUUUUCAGCGUGUCCCACAUGGCCAGAAGGCAAGGCUAGGAAUCGUUGGAAAUAUUUGUAGAUAAAGAGGCC
rnacentral:lncRNA from 1 species